GUACACAUAAUUUAAUUAAAAUGCUAGGCCGUGGCCCUAAAAAUGAAAGUUCAACACUUUCUGUAAACC
rnacentral:tRNA from 2 species